rnacentral:rRNA from 1 species
UGAACGCUGGCGGCGUGCUUAACACAUGCAAGUCGAACGAGAAAGGGAUUGCUUGCAAUCCUGAGUAGAGUGGCGCACGGGUGAGUAACACGUAGAUAAUCUACCUUCAAGCCUGGGAUAACUAUUCGAAAGGAUGGCUAAUACCGGAUAAAGUUUAUUAACAUAAGUUAAUUUAUGAAAGAUUGCCUCUUCUUGAAAGCAAUUGAUUGGAGAUGAGUUUGCGGACCAUUAGUUUGUUGGUGGGGUAAAGGCCUACCAAGACUACGAUGGUUAGCUGGUCUGAGAGGAUGAUCAGCCACACUGGAACUGGUACACGGUCCAGACUCCUACGGGAGGCAGCAGUGAGGGAUUUUGCGCAAUGGUGGAAACCCUGACGCAGCAACGCCGCGUGAGUGAAGAAGGCCUUUGGGUCGUAAAGCUCUGUCGACAGGGAAGAAAUUGUAAUUAUCCAAUAGGUAGUUACAUUGACGGUACCUGUAGAGGAAGCACCGGCUAACUCC